AUUGAACGCUGGCGGCAGGCCUAACACAUGCAAGUCGAGCGCGCGGCGGACGGGUGAGUAAUGUAUGGGCACUGCGCUAAAGAGGGGGAUAACUCCUGGAACCGGUGGCUAAUCCAGCAUACUAUCGGAUAACCCAUAUGGGAUUAGCUAGUAGGUGGGGUAAAGGCUCACCUAGGCGACGAUCCCCAGCUGGUCGGCGAGGAUGAGCAGCCAGACGGGGAUGGAGACACGGUCCAGACUCCUACGGAGGCAGCAGUGGGGAAUAUUGCACAAGGGGCGGAAGCCUGAGGCAGCCACGCCGUGGGUAUGAAGAAGGCCUUAGGGCUGUAAAGAACUGUCAGAGGGGAGGCGUUACCCGCAGAAGAAGCACCGGUUAACCCUGUGCAAGCAGCCGCGGUAAUAC
rnacentral:rRNA from 1 species